rnacentral:rRNA from 1 species
UACGUAGGGUGCAAGCGUUAUCCGGAAUUAUUGGGCGUAAAGAGCUCGUAGGCGGUUUGUCGCGUCUGCUGUGAAAACUGGAGGCUCAACCUCCAGCCUGCAGUGGGUACGGGCAGACUAGAGUGCGGUAGGGGAGAUUGGAAUUCCUGGUGUAGCGGUGGAAUGCGCAGAUAUCAGGAGGAACACCGAUGGCGAAGGCAGAUCUCUGGGCCGUAACUGACGCUGAGGAGCGAAAGCAUGGGGGAGCGAACAGG